rnacentral:lncRNA from 1 species
ACAAAGGUUGCUCGUCGCUGUUCAUGACUAGAGCUUGGAACAUCGUUCAUGUUACAGUAAUCAAGACAGCAUUCGGUCAGGCUCUCUCAGUUAGUGAUAAAGCCUUUGUCAGGCGCAAAACGCGCCUUCUGCUUCUGUCGCUUUUCUUUGUUUUUCAUUUUUAUUAUGUGGUACUUAGGAGAUGUCGCCUUUAUUUGGCGCCGGCUACUCCUUUUCACGUAGAGAUAAAAGAAAAUAAUUAAACGCAACUAAACUAAAGUUUAAUCUAAAUCAUAAUAACACAAAGUCCAGUCACAAAAGUACACUAAUGCCACACUAAAACUGAAAGUCAACUCAGAAAUAUGGCAACACAAAGUCCAAUCACAUAGCUGCACUAAAAUCAAAUAACGCUAACAGUAAAUGAAGCCAAGGAAAGCAUCACGGACAUUAGCUGUUGUUGAAAUUGAAAUGUAGAAGAUAAUAGAGAAAAUGGAAAUGAAGGUGGUAGUGCAACGCACACGUAAUGCGGAGCUUGUGGGUUUGGUUCCCACCGUGAAUAGCAUGAUGAAACAUCGUUCUAGCGCACAGAUAAACAUGGACGAGCAGAGAGGGACAACAAGAAGGCCGGUUCGUUCUUGUUGUUCCUCUCUGCUCGUCUGUGCGCUGGAACGAUGUUUCAUAAUGCUAUUCCCUUAAGUUUUCGUGCUACGUGACGCCAUCGGGCAGAAAAGGAUGUUCCACGUCCAUCCACCAUGGCUCUGAGUGGCGCUGGCUAACACUCCCAGGGCUAGAUCUAGUAAACAUAGAUACCCAAGCUAAUGGACGGAUUGAUAGCCAUCGCUAUCGGAGGCUGCGGGUUCGGUCCCCACCCGCGACAAGUCAUCUUUUUGUCCGCUUUCAUUUGCAUUUUCUUUAUUAUUUUCUACAUUUCAAUUUCAACAACAGCUAAUUUCCCCAAUGCUUUCCUUGGCUUUAUUGACUGUUGGCUUUAUAUGACCAUGAUUAACAAAAUCCAGCCCCUUGGUUCCCUUCUUCUCUCGUUACUCUAAAAUCAGGGCACAUAAGAAUGCACGGAUUAUAUUCGAAUCAAGGUACAUGAAUCGAGGCAUUGAAUUGGCGAAAGUCGGGUAUAAAAAAUACUAUCCUAUGGAAUGAGCUUAUCACAUUUAAACGCUCUACUCAAUAUAAAAACAAAGGCUACGGCGCUAAGCAGACGGCGAUGAAGUGAGACACAAACGACAUAUACGGGCGCCAACUUUCAACUGUUUAUUCACCAGAAACCACGCAAUUUUAUACAUGAAACCUAAGAGCAAAGUAAUCACAGUAGAGAUAAACUAACAGGCGUGAUAGAAGCUAACACUGCUCGUAAUCCAGUGAUCUGAACUGAAUUAUCAUGGCAGGUACAUAUGAGCACCUGUGCAUUGCAGGCGUAAUCCGAGUAUCCAACCAAAUGAGGCAGUUGCAGGUUCUAAUUUUAGCGGCGAUUACAGACUAUUAUUUAUAAAUGGCAUUUUUUUGGCAUUUAACGCUAGUAACAGCGUGCUAACACACUUAUUUCCUGCUCUUUCUUUUAUUAAGAAAACUUCGAUUAUCCCUUCUAGUGCGGUUUUUUUGCUUUCCUUACGAAGGUAGUUUUGUCCAACAGUGACACACAACCACAGCCAAUAGCUUCCGAGAAUAUCGCUCGCUUCUAGAAAUCUUUGAAGGGCCAGUAACGCUCGUCUUUGCAAUGAGUACGUUAUAAGUAUACAUGAAAGAAGUAUCCUACUACCGUCUACUAUACAGAAGAUCAGACGCAGCUUGCGCACGCGCUGUUUAGCUUGGUUUUUGCAUUUUGCCUUCAAGGAAAGCCUAAUCUGAAGCUGUAUUUAACAUCUGGGGAAGCUCGCACGAAACAUCUUACUCGAGCGGAUAAGGUAGGGAGACUCCCAUUCUGCUGCAGUAGCUGUCGCUAAACAGCGAAGUCAAGCUAUGCUGAGAGUGAGUGUCAUUUGCCCACAGGUUGUUAGGUAUGAUAAUCCGGUCACUGACGAGCUUUUAGCGCAGCGUGACUUUGCUGUGGGGAACCAACACUGAUCAGGAGGCGCCACGGAAGUCUGGGUGGGCACUAAAAGAUUCUGACGCCAUAUGAUAGGGAGGCCAUGAAAACGGUACGAUAUAUUGAACGAUAAGAAACGCUCGCCUGUAUCAACGUUUGCUUUAGCGCGAUGCGUCUAGUCAAGCAUAGAGUUUCCAACAUUUACUAGAGGGAACUCUGGCGCUGCGAUCCUUGAGCCACCAUGGGAAUGAUGGGUAAUACAUGAAUCGUAAUACAUGGGUACAUCGAUUGCCUAUGACGGGGCUGCGAACGUCUACCAGUAUUCAGAAAUCAAAAAUAGCGACUGCGCAUGUGCUAACUCCGCAGUACACGAAUACGGAGCAGUAUGGAAACGAUGUGACGCACAUAACCAAAACAUAACUUUAGCAUGAACCCUCAUACCAAAUAAAAGAUAGAGGGAGUGAGUAAAAAGAUAAAAAAAGUGAAGAGAGAGCAGAAGAGAGAGAGAGAGAGAGAGAGAAUUGGUACGAGCCGACAUGAGUUAUGCAGUCUUUUCGCUGGCUUGCUAAGAAAUACGUUUUUGCGCGAGUGGGAGAUUUCAGCACGCUGUGAAG